rnacentral:lncRNA from 1 species
CCUUUUAUAUUCAACUUUGGUUGAUGUCAAUAAGGAGAUCUUGGGUCUAGGGUUUCAGUGAAUUUGGUUUUCAUUAAGAAAUUUUUUGAAAUAUGAUCUUCCGCUGUGCCACCGUAACCCUACAGUGCUUAGGAUUUAAAAGGAUGGAUGAUGAUAUUUGAUAAAAGUUGAACUUUUGUUACAUCAUACCAUCAUUGAUUGUUGAUAUCAUUUUGCAUAAUUGAUUGAUUUUGAUGAUGUAUCAAUAUUUGUAUUGAUCUUAUGCUAUGUCUUGAAUAUUUUGAAUAUGAUAUUCAUCUUUGCAUUCACAUAUUACUUGAUAUUAUGUAAUUUUAAUUGAUAAUUAAUUAAGAUGUGUGAAUAAAAUUAAGCUUGAUUGAGUAAAAAAUAACUUGUAUAAAAAUCAUAUGAAUUAAUUUUUGACACCCUCAUAAGAUACCUAAUCAUUGACAUCCCCUAAAAAUUGCAUGAUCUAAGAAUUUCAACAUAAGAUGUCUAUUCAUA